rnacentral:rRNA from 1 species
GGCUCAGGAUGAACGCUAGCGGGAGGCCUAACACAUGCAAGUCGAACGGGAUUGAGAGCUUGCUCUCAUGAGAGUGGCGCACGGGUGAGUAACGCGUAUGCAACCUACCUUUAACUGAGGGAUAGCCCAUAGAAAUGUGGAUUAAUACCUCAUAGUUCUUUUGGCCCGCAUGGGUCGAUAGAUAAAGCUCCGGCGGUUAAAGAUGGGCAUGCGUGACAUUAGCUAGUUGGUAAGGUAACGGCUUACCAAGGCUACGAUGUCUAGGGGUUCUGAGAGGAUGAUCCCCCACACUGGUACUGAGACACGGACCAGACUCCUACGGGAGGCAGCAGUGAGGAAUAUUGGUCAAUGGGCGCAAGCCUGAACCAGCCAUCCCGCGUGAAGGAUGAAGGUCCUAUGGAUUGUAAACUUCUUUUAUACACCAAGAAAAACACCCACGUGUGGGUGCCCGACGGUAGUGUAUGAAUAAGCAUCGGCUAACUCCGUGCCAGCAGCCGCGGUAAUACGGAGGAUGCAAGCGUUAUCCGGAUUCAUUGGGUUUAAAGGGUGCGUAGGCGGCUUUUUAAGUCAGUGGUGAAAUCUUGCCGCUUAACGGUAAAAUUGCCAUUGAUACUGAAAAGCUUGAGUACAUUUGAGGUAAGCGGAAUGUGUAGUGUAGCGGUGAAAUGCUUAGAUAUUACACAGAACACCGAUUGCGAAGGCAGCUUACUAAACUGUAACUGACGCUGAUGCACGAAAGCGUGGGGAGCGAACAGGAUUAGAUACCCUGGUAGUCCACGCCGUAAACGAUGUUCACUCGCUGUUUGCGAUACACAGCAAGCGGCCAAGCGAAAGCAUUAAGUGAACCACCUGGGGAGUACGAUCGCAAGGUUGAAACUCAAAG